rnacentral:rRNA from 1 species
UACGAAGGGAGCUAGCGUUGUUCGGAAUUACUGGGCGUAAAGGGCGCGUAGGCGGCUUUAUAAGUUUGGUGUGAAAACUCGAGGCUCAACCUCGAGACGUCGGUUGAAACCGUAUGGCUAGAGUCCGGAAGAGGAGAGUGGAAUUCCCGGUGUAGCGGUGAAAUGCGCAGAUAUCGGGAAGAACACCCGUGGCGAAGGCGGCUCUCUGGGACGGUACUGACGCUGAGACGCGAAAGCGUGGGGAGCGAACAGG